UACGUAGGGGGCAAGCGUUGUCCGGAAUCAUUGGGCGUAAAGCGCGUGUAGGCGGUCCGGUAAGUCUGCUGUGAAAGUCCAGGGCUCAACCCUGGGAUGCCGGUCGAUACUGCCGGACUAGAGUUCGGAAGAGGCGAGUGGAAUUCCCGGUGUAGCGGUGAAAUGCGCAGAUAUCGGGAGGAACACCAAUGGCGAAGGCAGCUCGCUGGGACGUUACUGACGCUGAGACGCGAAAGCGUGGGGAGCAAACAGG
rnacentral:rRNA from 1 species